rnacentral:lncRNA from 1 species
UAGACGCAGCCCCGCCCCCGCCCCCACCCCCACCCACUCCCAAGAAAUCACCACGACGGGUGAAGAUAGAGAUCCCCAAGCCAGUGGAGAAGAAGCCCACCCCACCUAAACCAUCACCUCCUCCUCUGCCCAAAGUCAUUCUCUCUUACAAAGACUUACAAAGACGAUCUGAGGGAAAAUGGUGGAGGGGUAUUAGGGAUAGAGAACUACCGAAUGGUCCAAGUGAAUGGUCAAAGCCCUUUAAGUGUCGACCACUGCAGUUCAGUAGAAUCCUUUACGACCAAACAUUGUCGUGGCAGCGGGGAUGGCCAACGUUCAGCCGGGAAAAAAGCAACAAACUACUGAAAGUUAAACCUUUGGAUGACAAAGUUAACCUUAAAGAGUGGAAGGAUUCUUGGAAGAUGUCCAGGCCUUUACCCAAGCAGCACACAGAAAACAGGGGCAUUACAGAAAAAGUAAAGGCUUUCAGAGAGUGGCAGAAUCGCUUGGCAAUCAGCAGAAAUAGAACAUCUACGGCAGUGGAGAAGAAAGGAAAGAACAGCGACAUGUCUAACUUCAGGUCUAAAGUGGCACCUCCACCAAAUAUACAUAAAUCUGAGCCACCAACUCAUGAGAAGAAACAUGAACCACUCCUUCAGCUGAGGAAGGAGAGCUCUGAGGAAAAUAAGCCCACCGUACCCAAGAGCGCAAAGCCCCCAGCCCCACAACCCAAGGAGAAGAAGCUGCUUGCUAGAAAACCGUCACCUCCUCAGGAUGACACAGUAAAUCUUCCAUGGUGGAAGAAAGUUUGUAGGACGUCCAAGCCUUCACUCAAGCAGCACACAGAGAAUCAGAUGAUUGCAGAAACUGUGAAGACAGGGACGGGCGAUGACAUGUCUGACUCCAGAAAAAUCGUGAUGAGCCUUGACAAUGAUGCUGACAUUGAAGCAGCACAUUUGGAGUCCAGGUUUGGAGACCAGGUUUGGAGGCCAGGUUUGGAGGCCAGGUUUGGAGGCCAGGCCAAGGUGGUACCUCCACCCAUACCACCCACAAAGAAACGUGAACCACCCAAGAAAUCGCAGUUUGAUGCCCCCCAAAUAACUCAGGCUUCAUCGGACAUACUUGAUGUCGAUAAUUGGUCAGAAGCCUGGAAGACUCAACCACUGUUGUUGAACAUUAAAGAACAAGUAUCUCUGGAGGCUUGGGAGCAGGAAUGGCCAGAGUUCACAGAGGAACAAAAUGAUAAACGACUGAAUGCUAAGCCUUUGGAUGACAAUGUAAAUCUUACAGAAUGGGGGGAUGCUUGGAAGACGCCCAAGCCUUUAGCCAAGCAGCACAUUGAGGACUUGACGGUUACAGAGACAGUAAAGCCCAAAGCCUUGACAGGUUGGAGAGAGGCAAGGAGGCUCUCUGGUGACAAUGUUCAAAAUAAUCCUCCAAGCUUGAAGGAUUGGCGUGACUCGUGGAGUUUCUGCCAAGAGCAUCGCUGGUGGAAGGUUUCUAUGGACUCCCAGAUGUCAAAACAACUUUUUUCCCAUCUAAGGAAAAGGGGCGGAGGGCUUUUUUUGUUUUGUUUUUUGUUUUUGUUUCUUUGUUUUCUUGGACACAAUACGGACUGGGGACAAUAGGACUUAAUUACCAUGACAGCCAUGAAGCAAGCAAACAUUACAAACAAAUAAACAACACAUUUAGGUUAAGACAAAAACAAUGACAACCAUGCAUUACUAUCAUUAUAACCUAAUUAACUUAAAGUAACUUUUAAAAGACCAAACUCGAAGAAAACUGUUAACAGUAUGUGAUGGGACAUGUAAGGAAAGGAAAGGGAAGGAAAAGAAGGCUGGUAGAAAGUGAGAUGUUAUGGCAAGGAUUUUGUAAAGUGUAUGUAUGCAGAUGGGAUUAGGCUGUGGGGGAUUGUGGGCUGAGGGCCCUUGGGUAAUAUUUUUGUCAGCAGAUAAACUUUAGAAAAGAUGGUGGAUAAAUGAAGAUAUCUUACGACGUUUACCAUUGAAAAAAAUGGUCACAGUUCCGGUCUACUUAAGGAGUGGCUCUCGGGUCUGGUAUAAUUAGUUAAUUGACUGUACUGUAUAUGAACCAGAAAGAAUUAAGGAGUGAGAUGUUUCGCUUCCUCCUCCGUCUCUGACUGUAGGCAUUUCCUAAUUCCAUCAGGACCCAAACUGACAGAGCUGCACUAGUUGACUUCAAGAAACCCGAAGAAGCUUCCUUUUCAGAUAUGUAGUGUUUGAUAUUAGCGAAUGUGGGACACAUUUUAUUUUUACGUGGGCAAGGAUGUGACAGGGUGUAGCUGAUAUUGUUGAGUUAAUUAACAUAGUCAUGUUACAUGCCUCCUAUUGGUCUGUUCAAACUGAUUCUUUGUGUUUUGUCUUAAUUGAUUGCAGGUGUGACUGCGGAGCAUGCGUCUCCUCCUGUUAUCUUAAAAUGGCUGCAUUUCCUGCCAACCAGGAAGAGGAAAAAAGAGCCGCUGCUACCUCCAAGUCCUUAGACUAGCUCUAGCCUAUGGACUGAACUCCCAAUCACAGUUGAAAAUAAUUAUAUCUAGUCUCUGUGUUUAUUGUGACAUUCUGAGUACAUCUUGUCGGCUCAGUGUCUGUGGGGACUUGGAGACAGUCAGCAAAGAUGGGUUAGCUGAUAACGUCAUAAACGAUUCACACAUUUCAAUGGUGAGUUGUGAUUCUGGAUGGCCAGAUAGCUUCCAACAAUGACAAACUGCCUGUGGGGAAUCGAGGUGGCAUGAUGUCGUCAGACAGGGAUAAAGGGACAGUGUACGACAGCUUCCAGCUCAUGAACCAAUGGGAGAACAGAGCUAAGCAGUUCAGUCAGAAGGGACAACUGGAAAAGGAGAGACAAGGAAAGAGUGCCUUGAAUGGGCUUUACAAAAAGUGGCAGUCUUGCUUGGCGAACAAAAAUGGAACCCCUACGGCAGCGGAGAAGAAAGGAAAGGGCAGCGACAUAUCUGACUUCAGAAAGGUUGCGGUGAUCCCAGACAUUGAUGCUGACAUCAAAGGAGCCAUGUUUAAGGUGGUACCACCACCAAAGAUUCCCAAACCUGCUCCAUCCCCACCACCACCACCCAAAAAGAAACCACCCAAGAGGGCAAAGCCCCAAGUUCUCAAACCAGCCGGGGGCUGGGAUGAGUCAUGGAAAAGCCUGAAGCCCCCAGAGCAGGAAGUCCAACCUGAGGAAAAAUGGUGGAGGGAUUUUAAGCCAGAUAGAUACCUACCUCUCAGCGAAUGGGCAAGGCCCUUCAAGUGUCGACCACUGUUAUUCAGUUUCAUCCUUCACCAGCAAACAGAGUGGUGGCAGCGAGGAUGGCCAGUGUUCAGCCGGGAACAAAGCAACAAACUAUUGAAAGCUAAGACUUUGGAUGUCGAAGUAUACCUUCCAGGGUGGGAGGACGCUUGGAAGACAUCCAGAUCUUUAUCCAAGCAAUACAUUGAGAACAAGAUGAUUACAGAAACAGUACAGCCCAAAGCCUUCUUCCCAGGCUGGACAGAAUCUUGGAAGGUCGCAGGUGAAAAUGUCCAAAACAGUGGCCGAUAUCUUAGGGAUUGGCACGAGUCCUGGAGUUUGUGCCAAGAACACCACUGGUGCAAGGCCCCCAUAGACUCCCAGUUGAUGUCAAAACAUGUGUUCUCCGAUGAGUUGUUGAUCUCCCAGCUUGAUGAGGAGAUCCCAUCUUCAUCAGAUUGGAUAGAGUCCUGGAAAUCUGUGAAAUCUCAGCCCCAGUCCCAGUCCCAAGAGUCCCAGUCAGAGCCCAAAGGGACUGAAUUAGAGGUAGAAAUGUCCCAUGUGCCACUGCAUCUCCAGUUCCACAAGCUUAACACACCUUUCUCAAACUGGCACGAGUCUUGGAAAGUGUCAACUGCAAAUAACGAAGCAAUUGAAGAUGGAUGGAAAGGUUCCUGGAAAAUAUAUAGUCAGAAUCAAAAUCAAAAUAACACAAAAGCCCAAAGAGAUGUUGUGUUUUUCUCAAAUAAGUACAAGACCCAAAGGUUGCGGGGUGUCGACAGCAUGCCUCAGAGUGAAUGGUCUAAAUCCUGGAAGACCCCCAUGCCUCCCCAACAUACUUUCUUGCCAGGUUGGAAAGAAUCUUGGAAACAAAACAGCAAUCCAUAUUGGAAGGAUUGGCAUGAGUCCUGGAGUUUAUGCCAAGAACACCACUUUUGCAAGUCCUUUAUGAACUCCCAGUACUGCCAUCAUGCCAUGAUGAUGUCAAAAUGCUUGCUGACUAAUGAGCUGUUGAGCUCCCAGCUUGAUGAGGAGAUCCCAUCUUCAUAUGAGUGGAUAGAGUCCUGGAAAUCUGUGAAACCUUAUCCUCAGUCCCAAUCAGAUUCAGAAGAAACUGAAUCAGAGUUGGAUAUGUCCCAUGUGCCACUGCAUCUUCAGUUCUACAAGCUUAACACACCUUUCUCAAACUGGCAUGAGUCUUGGAAAGUGUCAACUGCGCAAGCUGUAGCAGGUAAAGACGAACAAGAACAUCCUUCAACAGAAUGGACUGAUUCCUGGAAGAUAUCUUGGAUGAAUCUAAAUAAAAAUGACUUAAAACCCCAAAAGGAUGUUGUAUUUUUCUCAAGGCAUAAGACUGAAUGUUUCUUGAGUGUUGACUGUAUGGUCCAGAAUGAAUGGUCUGAAUGCUGGAAGACCAUCAAGCCUACCCAAUACACUGAGACACAGGAGGAGGAGGAGGAAAAAGAUAGCCAUUCUGAUUCCUCAAAAAAUGUGUCACAUCUAAUAGAGAUUCCUUUGAAUGAUUGGGCAGAAUCAUGGAGGUUCAAGCCAGAGGACGAGAGCCCCACCUCACCCAAGACGGCACAGCCCCUAGCCCCAAAACCAGAGGAGGAGAUGCUGAAAGCCAGCACACCAUCACCUCCUCAGCCUUACAAAUACAAUCUUAACCAGGCAAGCUGGGGUGAUUCCUGGAAAAUCCUGAAGCCCCCACAGAAGGAAGUCCCAUCUGAGAAAAAAUGGUGGAGGGCGUUUAAGCAGGACAGAAAUCUACCUUUCAAUGAAUGGGCAAAGCCCUUCAAGUGUCGACCACUGCUAUUCAGUCGCUUACUGCACACACAAACAACAUCCUGGCAGCAGGGAUGGCCAGCGUUCAGCCGGGAACAAAGCAACAAACUACUGAAUGCUAAGCCUUUGGAUAACAAAGUAAACCUUCUGGAGUGGGAGGAUGCUUGGAAGACACUCAAGCGUUUACACAAGCAGCAUGCUGAGAACAAGAUGAUUACAGAAAGAGUACAGCCCGAUGGCUUCUUGCCAGGUUGGAUAGAAUCUUGGAAGGUCGCAGGUAACAAUGUCCAAAACAACAAUCCAUAUCUGAAGGAUUGGCGUGAGUCCUGGAGUUUUUGUCAUGAACAUCACUCAUACAGGGCCUCUAUAGACUCCCAGAAUCGGCAGUAUCUCCCAGUAUCACUAAAACACAAGCUGUCCAAUGAUCUGUUGAUCUCCCAGCUUGAUGAAAACAUUACGUCCUCACCAGAAGGGUGAGGACGUGCUGAAGACAACAUGCUGAAGACAACAUGCCUCAGAAUGAAUGGUCUGAAUGUUGGAAGACACAGCAGCAGCACCAGCAGCAGUUGGAGGACUGGGCAGAGUCUUGGAGGUUAUCUGUCGCCCCAGAAUCCAACAACUCAGUAUCACUAGACCGGUGGAAACAAUCAUGGAGACUCUCAAACCCAAAUCACCCACAUCAGCUUAACCAGGGCACAGAGCCUCUCAUACACAACGGCCCCAAACACCACAUGCAACUCCACGCGGUUGAACUGCCCCAGGCAGAAUGGAGCAACUCCUGGCAGUACCUCAAGUCAGACACUGGAUCCUAAUACGAAGAAGAAAACAGACAUACAGUAGAACAUUAUAACAUGUACGUCAAAUGAUCAGAUGUGUAUUUGAUCCUAUACUAUUUAUACUUAAUGUCAAUAUACAUACUUGUUAAAUGUCUUAUUACUGGACACAUUGGAGUGUGACGAGCAGAAUUCUCUGCUGCAGAGAGGAGGUUGGGGUGAAUGAAGUGUAUAAUGCGUGGUUUGCAUAGCUGUUGGAAACUUUAAACCUAACCUAAUCUCAACCUAAUCUAAUCUAUUCUAUUGAUUGAAAUGUUGUUGUUUUCUAUCGGCUGUUGUUGCUACUUCUAUUGUUGCUGGUUGUCUUUGUGACUAAAUUAAUGCUUGAUUGACGAACACUUUAUCCAUCUUGG